UUAAAUCACGAAAAAUAUUAAUAAUAACACAAAACAUAAUUUUAAUUCAAAAUAUGAAAGAGAAUUUUAUUUAUAAAAAAAUUGGUGAAACUCUCAUAUUUUUUGGAUCAAUAUUAAAACUAAUAUGAAUUAAUGAAAAUAAAAAAAAAAUGAAAUUCAAAUAAUCAGAAAAAACGUGGACCACUUGAUCUCCCUCAUUAAUUGAGGUGGCAGAUCAAGUGGAUGAAAAUGCGCGCCCCAUGGUACACUUGAG
rnacentral:lncRNA from 1 species